rnacentral:rRNA from 1 species
UACGUAGGGGGCAAGCGUUGUCCGGAAUUAUUGGGCGUAAAGCGCGCGCAGGCGGCUUCUUAAGUCUGAUGUGAAAGCCCACGGCUCAACCGUGGAGGGUCAUUGGAAACUGGGGAGCUUGAGUGCAGAAGAGGAGAGUGGAAUUCCACGUGUAGCGGUGAAAUGCGUAGAUAUGUGGAGGAACACCAGUGGCGAAAGCGGCUCUCUGGUCUCUAACUGACGCUGAGGCGCGAAAGCGUGGGGAGCAAACAGG